AUAUAUAUAUAUAUAUAUAUAUAUAUAUAUAUAUGUAUGUAUAUACUGUACAAAUAUGUGUGUGUAAUUUAACAUGAAAACAAAUGUUUUGUUGUUCAUUCCUUCCUGUCACUGAACACUUGUUCUGUAUGCCAUUUGCAGUACCCUUCGGACUGAGUGGAUGCACUUCCUGCGACUUAAAAAGAUGACCGGAUAUGAGAUGUUUGCUUUGGCAGGACGACGGGGGAACAUAUCUGUGCUGUGAUUCAGCAGCUGUCCUGCUGAUGCUGCACUCACUGUCAAACAGUGACCUCCAGAGGACAGUUAGAAAACUGCAGCCUGUGCCGGUUGGGAGUCAAGACUGCUGCUGCAAACUCGUUAUUUGAGGGAUAAGCAUUAAACUAAUGCCCGGUGACUGCGAGGAUAAGCAGCAGUAAUGUGAUUUUUCAGUAAUGUAAUUUGUCUGCGUGUGUGUCAGUGUGCGGACAGUGAGGAGGAAUCUGAUCCAGGCUGAAUGAUUUAUGAUGUUCGUUCCACCGUUUUCCUAAAACACGUUUCUCUUCAUUUAUUUUUCAUCUUCAGAGCGAUUAGUUCUCCCUGUCACCUGCUAUACAGCGUCUGAGCGGAGCAUUAAUGAGAGAGCGAGAGACAGAUGCACAGACAUAUAUUUACUCCACAUGAAAACAUGCAGAAUAGAACAGAUAGAAAAUAAAGAGCAAACAGUAAAUAGUACA
ensembl:lncRNA